rnacentral:rRNA from 1 species
CCUACGGGCGGCAGCAGUAGGGAAUUUUCGGCAAUGGGGGGAACCCUGACCGAGCAACGCCGCGUGAACGAAGAAGUUAUUCGUAAUGUAAAGUUCUUUUAACAGGGAAGAAAGAGAAAUUUGACGGUACCUGAAGAAUAAGCUCCGGCUAACUACGUGCCAGCAGCCGCGGUAAUACGUAGGGAGCGAGCGUUAUCCGGAAUUAUUGGGCGUAAAGGGUGCGUAGAUGGCAUAGUAAGUCUUUUGUAAAAAUGCUGGGCUCAACCUCGCUCCGCCGUUGAAACUGGCGUUCUUGAGUGGGCGAGAAGUAUGCGGAAUGCGUGGUGUAGCGGUGAAAUGCAUAGAUAUCACGCAGAACUCCGAUUGCGAAGGCAGCAUACCGGCGCCCAACUGACGCUGAAGCACGAAAGCGUGGGUAUCGAACAGGAUUAGAUACCCUUGUAGUC